AGCGAACGCUGGCGGUAGGCUUAACACAUGCAAGUCGAACGGAUCCUUCGGGAUUAGUGGCGGACGGGUGAGUAACACGUGGGAACGUGCCUUUUGGUUCGGAACAACACAGGGAAACUUGUGCUAAUACCGGAUAAGCCCUUCGGGGAAGGAUUAUCGCCAUUAGAGCGGCCGCGUCUGAUUAGCUAGUUGGUGAGGUAAAGGCUCACCAAGGCUACGAUCAGUAGCUGGUCUGAGAGGAUGAUCAGCCACACUGGACGUGAGACACGGCCCAGACUCCUACGGGAGGCAGCA
rnacentral:rRNA from 1 species